UCACUGCCUAUGAGUCCCAUAAUAGGACGAAACGGCCGUCCAGUGU
rfam:Schistosoma mansoni strain Puerto Rico chromosome 7, complete genome